GCAGGAAGCUCACAUAGUCCUGCACCAGGCAGCCGAAGUAGGUGCGCUUGUCGCGGGCCAGCUCGGCGAUCCUGCGCACCAUGCGCUUCUCGGGGGUCAGGAAGGAGCUGAACACCCCGCUCAUCUUGCGGAGCUGGGACUUGACGAGCUUGGGCAGCACGAAGGAGCUGUUCCUCUUCUUCUUGGACUUGAUGGGGGGGGCCAUGGUCUCCUGGUCGCUCUCCACGUCGUAGUCCUCCAGGCUGCUGUUGGUGUCCGCCUCGUAACCAAACAGGGGCAUGCUGCGGUCCAGGUCCAGCGAGUCGGAGGAGGAAGUGGAAAUGCUCAUGUCACUCAGCCUCUGUCGGCCUCCGCGCCACGGGGCCCGGGAUGGGGAUGCAGGGGCGGCGGCGGGCCGGGCCCUUGUGCAAUCCCGCGGGGCCUCCUCCUCCUCCACCGCCGCCGCCGGGGCUCCACCUGCGCCGCCGGCCGGGCCCGCCGCGGGCUCCGGGCGAGGCCGGCCGCCGAUCAAGGUCUUGGCGCCGCCCUCCGCCUCGAGAAAAGACGCCUGCUUCUUGAGCCGGGGCGGAGGGACGGGGGUUGGUUUCGCUCCAAGCCGAGCUCCGUCGCCGUGUUGGUGAUGGGCCACGGUUUCCGGCAUGCUCGCGGGGGCCGCGGGCCCGGACAGCUGGGGGCUGCCGUGCACACUAUUAAUAGCGGGGGGCGGGGGCCGGGGUGGGGGGGACCGAGGCCUCUCCGUGCCAUUCGCGUCGGGGGGAGUCCGGGUGCAGGGCCGCUUCGGGCCUCCGCCGAUCUCCUGGCUGUGCACUUUGAAGAACAGAGGAUUAAUAAAGCACAGGGCUCCGUUGGUCUGGCUGCACUCCAGCUCCGAGGGCGUCCUGGUUUUUAUAGAAUGCACUCCAUUUAUAAGGCAGAGCUGACGCGAGGCAGGACCCACACCGUCGGAGGAGAGAGGCCUAUGGGGAGGUGGAGGGUUUGGGGGUUUGUUGUCAGCUGGAGAGCUCCAAAAAUCUGAAAGUCAUUAUCAGUGAACACAAGAAUGUAAAUACAGUGCACUCGGCCAGUCCUUCACAAAAAAUCACGCUUGCCUGGCAAUGCACAGCUUUGGAAGGGGAGGCGCUGCUACACUGGAGUGUGGUGUUUUUCUUUCUCUCUUUCUUUCUUUCUCUGUCUCUCUCUUUUUUUUUUUUUUUAACUGCAUUCCUUUACUGGAAAGGGUGGAAAUGCUGCCAGGCCCAGCUGCCGGCUCGUGGGAAGGCUCCGGAGGCUUUUCACCUUCAAAGCCCUUGAGAGAUGGCUUGGCCGUGUCACUGAGCCGGCCAGGCCUUUCCCCAGGUGAGGAAAAAGGAACUGGGGUGGUUACAGUGCGAGCCCGGAAAAGGCCAUGGGACUCCCUACUUGCUCCACAAAGACCAAGUCCUCCUCCUUUCUGAUUCCUUCUCCCGGGGUGCCCUCCGCAGGGGGCCCGCAGUUCCCCUUUAACGGGCAGGACCAGCAGCUGGGCCUGGCGGACGUUACACAAUCUGCCUGGGGUUUGACACAUUCAGCAUUAAAACCCAAAGGGAGGAAAAAUACACUUAUGGGUCCCAUCAGCAAAAAACGGGACAGCCAGCUCAUGCAAAGGUUAAGUGCAAGUUCGCCCGUCCAUCUUUGUUGUCUGCUGCCCAUCCUUCCCAAAUCCUACAACCUCCUGGCCUUGGCUAUUGAUAUCCAGCACUCUUUGGAGUGGUGCACAUCGCUGACCGCAGCCCUACUGCCUGGGCGCCCUUUGACAGACGGGUCUGUUUUCCACACAAAUCGAGGGAGGCGGUGGUGGUGAUGAACACCUGUUGUAAUUUCCAUCUGGAAUAGGUUAUUGUAUCUACACUUCUGCCUUGUUGUGUUUGCUGAAACUGUGUUUCUUUCCCGAGGGCCCAGAAUGGCUGGUCACAGGGGCCUGGGGAGAGGCUGAGGCUGGGAGCCCUGGUCCUGCCCUGUCUGUGCUGUGAACGUGCCUGACCUUGACUUGUGUCGCCCGCUUUCUCUCAUCCUUCCUUCCCUCUAGGUCUGUGCUGUCCAAUAGGGGAGCCAGCAGCCACCUGUGGCCAGUGAGCGCUUGAAAUCCAGCUCAUGAACGGAGGGGCUCCAUUUUCCAUUUAUUUCAGGGCACAAGUGCUGUCCCUGAUACUUCGGUCCUGGAGCCCUGGCACGAAGCACACACAGCAGGCUGACCACCGAGCCAGGAGUCCUGGGGAUGGAGGUCACCCGAGGAAACGGAGACCUGGUGCAUGUCCUCGAGAGGCCUGUAAUCUAGUUGAUGAUCUGACCUUAAAUUCAGGAAAUGUUUUAAACUCUCUCCAAAGGUGUGUAAAACUCGGUGGCAGAGAUGGCGUGACUUUUCAGCAGGGCCAUUUAUGCGGCCCUGAUAUUUUUACCUGGAUUCUAUUUCCCACUCGUGAAACCCAGCUGCCCGUCAGACAGGCCUCAGAUGCAUGUGGCAAUUCUUCUGAAACAAUUCAAGUUUCAGAGGGGAAUGUGAAUCUACCUCCAGGCUUCUCUAUGCAUUUUGUAGGCUCUCUUGGCAAUGGUACCCACUUCAGAACAAGUUCUUUAGAUUUAGGGGCAAACUGGCCAAAGGAGGGACACAUAUAUUUCUUAUUUGCUGGGUCAAGUAUCACAGUUUCUUAGGUCCUAGAAAUCCUGGUACUUGCACUUCAGAAUCCCAAACUCAAAUACUAUAUACUGGUAUAUAAACUCAAAUACUAUGGCCUCGUUGUUCGUCUAUCUGAAGACUGAAGCCCCAAAAUCUUAAGAGAAUUUCCCCUUCUCAUCGAGGAGGAAAACACUUUUUGUGAAAGUUAAACCCACACGGGUUCCCCAGGGCAACAGAACCAAGAAGUGACACUGGGGGAGUGGUGUGUCCUGAGCCCCUGCCAUCCACCGUCCGCCACGGGGCUGGGUUGAGGGGCAUUGGCAAAGGGCAGGAGGGGAAGCGAGUGCCCAGCUGGCUGGAGUGAGGAUGCAGAGCGGUGUAAAGGACGUGGCCCAGAACACCAGGGCCGGAACUGAGCAAGAGAGGAACUGAGACAGAUGUUACUCUGGAAGCCUGCACGUCAAAUUCCUCAAAGCACAGAAGUGCCAUCAACACCGUGUGUUCCUCUAGAAUAAAACUCAUGCACGGGAGGUGCCUGCACUGGCUUUCCCUGUCCAUCAGGCACGGCCUUUCCCCAGCAAGAUGCCACAGAAGGGCAGGACCCAUGACAGAGGUUCACCUUACCUUAAGACUUGGAAUUUUGGGGAGCUCAAACUCAUCGACGGGAGAUGUGGGGAGAAUUCGUGGGCUACUUGGGCAAACUCAGCACCUGCCUCUGAGAGCUGGUCGGACGUUUUACUUAGAAAAAGACUCUCAGAAGGUGUGACUCAGGGCCUCAUGGAGUUCUACCGUGGAGAUGAGGGUUGCUUUUUGAUGCAACGAUGUAUCAUCUGCCAUUGGCUCUGCUCCAUGCAUUCACGUCAAGAGAAACUGGGCAGGGGCACCCACUUACUUAGUCCCAGUUGGGCUAGUUCUUCAAGCUGAGCCUCAGUCUUGGCUGUUGAAAUGGCAUAAGGCAACUUCAAGGUAAACGGCAGGACGUCCCUGAUUUUUCAAAAGAGAGAAUACAUGUAAUUACAUGUC